rnacentral:rRNA from 1 species
UUGGGAAUAUUGCACAAUAGACACACGUCUGAUGCAGCAAUCCCGCGUGAGUGAUGAAGGUCUUCGGAUCGUAAAGCUCUUUUAGCAGGGACGAAGGGUAACUUGACGGUACCUGCAGAAAAAGCACCGGCUAACUACGUGCCAGCAGCCGCGGUAAUACGUAGGGUGCAAGCGUUGUUCGGAAUCAUUGGGCGUAAAGCGCGUGUAGGCGGUUGGCUAAGUCCGGUGUGAAAUCCCGGGGCUUAACUCCGGAAGUGCAUUGGAUACUGGCCAGCUAGAGGACGGGAGAGGAAAGCGGAAUUCCUGGUGUAGGGGUGAAAUCCGUAGAUAUCAGGAGGAAUGCCGGGGGUGAAGGCGGCUUUCUGGUCCGUUUCUGACGCUGAGACGCGAAAGCGUGGGUAGCAAACA